ensembl:snoRNA U8 U8 small nucleolar RNA
ACUUUGCACGGGACAAUGGUUAUAUGUUCCUCCUUUUGGAAGGGCAGAUUAGAACAUGAUUUUUGGAGUUCACAUGAUAUGUGAGUAAGGUCUCUGAGUAAUCAGGACAUGCAACACCAUGACUGCUUCUGAU